UACGGGGGGAGCAAGCGUUGUUCGGAUUUACUGGGCGUAAAGGGCGCGUAGGCGGUCGUGACAAGUCACUUGUGAAAUCUCCGGGCUUAACUCGGAACGGUCAAGUGAUACUGUCGGACUAGAGUACAGAAGGGGCAACUGGAAUUCUCGGUGUAGCGGUGAAAUGCGUAGAUAUCGAGAGGAACACCUGCGGCGAAGGCGGGUUGCUGGGCCGAUACUGACGCUGAGGCGCGAAAGCCAGGGGAGCGAACGGG
rnacentral:rRNA from 1 species